GGCUACAGCAGCAGAUGACCACACCAGGGGCGACUCCUGUCAGCUAAGAACAGGAAACUGAGGUUACAGUUCACACCAGACUCACCUAAAUGGGACAUCUCCACAGUCACCAGCUAUCAGGUCCAGUAGAGCAUCCUGGGGAUGUGGUUGAAAGGGAAAUGUGGACGAGGGAAUGGCAGGAUGGGAUCCGCUGGGCGCUUUGGAGCCAGCUAGAUGACCUGGACUUUGCUGAUGACCUUGCCCUCCAGUACAAAAACCAACAGCACAUGAAGGACGCGUCUUCACGGCGGUUCAACAUUCCAGCUUAACAUCAACAGAAGACCUUUAUCUUUACCUUCACUACUCCCAGCCUGUAAUUACAAUGAUAAUGAGCCUGGUUGCAAAUGAAGCCUCGGGCUUGACGUCAGCGGUGACUCUUGUUUCACCGGCUCGCUGCUGUGCAAGAGGAAACACCGCCGGAUUAGCCUACUCUUGAACUGGCUCACGGCUCCACAAAGCCCAAACACACUCCGCACUGAGAGCGUCUGUGAAUGAGGGAUGAUUGAGAACCGGCUGGAACAGCAGCACAUAGGUGGAAUUUGCAUUUUAAUAGCAAGAGCUCAUCUCCAGCAUGCUAUUGAUCCAUUUUGAACAGAGGGUUAGAAAUUAUGAUGUACUGAAAGAGCAGCAGAUGGAUGAAUGGGGGAAAUUCCUCCUACAUUCUUCCAUAAUUUAGUGUAGAGGUGCAGAUAAUCAUGACCAAGAAAGGCCAAAUUAGAGCCUAAAACAGUGGCACUAAGGCCCUUUACAUCUCUUCUUUUUUGCAGUCAAAGUCAACAUUUUAUUGGUAUUUACAUAUAUUUUGCAUUAUUCUCGACCAGCCAAUGCUAGCUAAUAAAUAAUGCAAUUACCUCCACUUCAGAUGUACAAACUGUGAAUCAGAUUUUGAUCCAACAUGAAGGAAAACUGAGAGUUCAAAGGGAUAUUUCAGGAUGAUGAGAUUGUAAGUUACCUAAAAAAUGUUUUUGAUUUUUUUCAUAAUAGCCAUAGCUUAGCUUAGCUAGCAUCUGCUCAAUAAUUAAAUGAAAGUCAUGCCUGAAAAUAUUUUAGACUGUACAUUUGCCACAUAGUCAAAAAGGAGAGUGAAGUGAAGCAAAUGUGAGCUUUAUUAAACUGUGCCGAUACUAUAAAAGUA